GAUGAACGCUGGCGGCGUGCCUAAUACAUGCGAGUCGAACGAAACUUCUUUAUCACCGAGUGCUUGCACUCACCGAUACAGAGUUGAGUGGCGAACGGGUGAGUAACACGUGGGCAACCUGCCCAAAAGAGGGGGAUAACACUUGGAAACAGGUGCUAAUACCGCAUAACCAUAGUUACCACAUGGUAACUAUGUAAAAGGUGGCUAUACUACCGCUUUUGGAUGGGCCCGCGGCGCAUUAGCUAGUUGGUAGGGUAAAGGCUUACCAAGGCAAUGAUGCGUAGCCGAAUUGAGAGGUUGAUCGGCCACAUUGGGACUGAGACACGGCCCAAACUCCUACGGGAGGCAGCAGUAGGGAAUCUUCCACAAUGGGCGAAAGCCUGAUGGAGCAACGCCGCGUGGGUGAAGAAGGUCUUCGGAUCGUAAAACCCUGUUGUUAGAGAAGAAAGUGCGUGAGAGUAACUGUUCACGUUUCGACGGUAUCUAACCAGAAAGCCACGGCUAACUACGUG
rnacentral:rRNA from 1 species